AGCAGCCGCGGUAAUUCCAGCUCCAAUAGCGUAUAUUAAAGUUGUUGCAGUUAAAAAGCUCGUAGUUGAAUUUCGGGGUCAGUAGGUUGGUCAUGCCACUGGUAUGUACUGGUCUCACUGAUUCCUCCUUCCUGAUGAACUGUAAUGCCAUUAAUUUGGUGUUGCAGGGAAUCUGGACUGUUACUUUGAAAAAAUUAGAGUGUUUAAAGCAGGCUAACGCCUGAAUACAUUAGCAUGGAAUAAUGAAAUAGGACGUUCGAUCCUAUUUUGUUGGUUUCUAGGAUUGACGUAAUGAUUAAUAGGGAUAGUUGGGGGCAUUAGUAUUCAAUCGUCAGAGGUGAAAUUCUUGGAUUUAUUGAAGACUAACUACUGCGAAAGCAUUUGCCAAGGAUGUUUUCAUUAAUCAAGAACGAAAGUUAGGGGAUCGAAGACGAUCAGAUACCGUCGUAG
rnacentral:rRNA from 1 species